rnacentral:rRNA from 1 species
AGUGAACGCUGGCGGUAGGCCUAACACAUGCAAGUCGAACGGCAGCACAGUAAGAGCUUGCUCUUACGGGUGGCGAGUGGCGGACGGGUGAGGGAUACAUCGGAAUCUACUUUUUCGUGGGGGAUAACGUAGGGAAACUUACGCUAAUACCGCAUACGACCUACGGGUGAAAGCAGGGGAUCUUCGGACCUUGCGCGAUUGAAUGAGCCGAUGUCGGAUUAGCUAGUUGGCGGGGUAAAGGCCCACCAAGGCGACGAUCCGUAGCUGGUCUGAGAGGAUGAUCAGCCACACUGGAACUGAGACACGGUCCAGACUCCUACGGGAGGCAGCAGUGGGGAAUAUUGGACAAUGGGCGCAAGCCUGAUCCAGCCAUACCGCGUGGGUGAAGAAGGCCUUCGGGUUGUAAAGCCCUUUUGUUGGGAAAGAAAAGCAGCAGGUUAAUACCCCGCUGUUCUGACGGUACCCAAAGAAUAAGCAGCGGCUAACUUCGUG